ACUCCUACGGGAGGCAGCAGUGGGGAAUAUUGCACAAUGGGGGAACCCGUAGCUGNAGCCAUGCCGCGUGUGUGAAGAAGGCCCUCGGGUUGUAAAGCACUUUCAGUAGGGAGGAAGGUAGUGUAGUUAACACCUGCAUUAUUUGACGUUACCUACAGAGAAGCACCGGCUAACUCCGUGCCAGCAGCCGCGGUAAUACGGAGGGUGCGAGCGUUAAUCGGAAUUACUGGGCGUAAAGCGCAUGCAGGUGGUUUGUUAAGUCAGAUGUGAAAGCCCGGGGCUCAAGCCUCGGAAUAGCAUUUGAAACUGGCAGACUAGAGUACUGUAGAGGGGNGGUAGAAUUUCAGGUGUAGCGGUGAAAUGCGUAGAGAUCUGAAGGAAUACCGGUGGCGAAGGCGGCCCNGCCUGACAGAUACUGACACUCAGAUGCGAAAGCGUGGGGAGCAAA
rnacentral:rRNA from 1 species